CACGUAGGGUGCAAGCGUUGUCCGGAAUUAUUGGGCGUAAAGGGCUCGUAGGCGGUCCGUCACGUCGGGAGUGAAAACUCGGGGCUCAACCCCGAGCCUGCUUUCGAUACGGGCGGACUAGAGGUAGGUAGGGGAGAACGGAAUUCCUGGUGUAGCGGUGGAAUGCGCAGAUAUCAGGAGGAACACCGGUGGCGAAGGCGGUUCUCUGGGCCUUACCUGACGCUGAGGAGCGAAAGCAUGGGGAGCAAACAGG
rnacentral:rRNA from 1 species